rnacentral:lncRNA from 12 species
AUGUGCAUCUGCUGUGAGACAAACCCGCUCUUUCCGUGCCGUAUCCCACCAUCCCACACUCUGGCCAGCUGCAGAGGAAGAAUUAAUACUAAUCCGGCAUUACGGUCCGGUCUGAGUCCAUCAGGAGAAAGGAACUGGCAUGUCAUAAUCAUGGUCAAAGCAAAGGAUUCCUGCUCACAGACGCUGAAACACAGUAAGCAUGGAGUGGCAGUCGGUGACAUGGGAAGGAAGGAGACGCUGUUCAUCGCUGUUCCUCUAUUUGUGACAAACACAGCAGAGCCAUAUCUGUUUUCUCCUGAUCUCAGCAAAAGCACAAGCAGCACUUCCUUCCUCCUCUGAUGACUGAAGUCUGGAUAGCAGUGAUGUAAAGGCACUCACUAGCUGCUUCACAAACAAGGUUGCCAUCUUUUGAGAAAAUGCCAAAUAUUCAAUGCAAAUGGACAUGAUUUUCUCUGAAAAAAAAAAAAAGAAAAUUGUAUGUUGUGGAUAUGUGAGAUUAAUCAACGUACGUCUGCACAAUGAAGCUAACACAAGUUUGUGCUCGUCUGAAUGUGCAACUCAUGUUGUGAGUAAAGUGCAUAAAACGUAUCAUUUUAUCUAACUACUCAAGCAUUGCAUAUUGACAUGCAUCCUGUGACGGAGCAGCAUUCACCCAUCCACCUCCUUUUCGUCCAUCUAUCCAUCCCUCUAUUUAUCUGUCUAUCCAUGCAUCCACAGUACGGUGAUCUGCGGCCCCGCAGGGAUCUGGAGCGGUGAUGGCCGAGGUGCCCAAGAAAUGUAAUCACUGUAAUGAUCACUAAUCCAGCCCCGGAGAUUCAGACAUGAGGUCAUUCCCUCUGUCUCGCUGCUGUUAUGGAGGCUAAGUGGGGCUAAUGAGAGCUAAUUGGAGCCCACUGUCAAUGCUGAGAUCAGUCUCAACACUAGCACUAAAGAUCUGCUGCUUUAUAAAUUCCUGUAUGGGUUGUAUGCACAUUGAAUUAAGUUUCAUAUGGGCAAAAUGUUACUGGAAGGCCAGCAUGAGCUUCCAAAACAAUAAACAUACAUCUUCUUUUGCUCACUGUACUGCUUCUGUCUUUCAUGCAUAAGACAAUUACAAAACACAUUGCAACAAGCCCAGCGAAAACAACCCACUUCUAAUUUAAAGGGUUAGUUCACCCAAAAAUUUAAAUUAGACUGUGUUUUACUUCACUCAGCGGGUGUUGCAGUGCUUCAGUCCAAAAGACGUGAAAUAAAAAGUGCCCUUCCAUGAAAGAAAGUGUCUCACACGGCUCCAGGGGGUGAACAAAGUCCUCCUAUAGCGAAUUGGAGUGUUUUUGUUAGAAAAAUAUCCAUAUUCAAAACAAAAUAAUCUUUUGAAUCCAGCUUGCACUUACUGUUGUAAACUAAGCAGUUUCGGGGGAAUUACGUAUGAGGUCAGCUUUGUGCAUGCACCGCUCAGAAGUGACGAUCACGGAAGCGCAGGGGAGAGAUCAAAACAAAACAAUGGUCACUAAUUAGAAGUACAAAACGAGGAUUUGUUGGAAAAUGUCGGAGGAUAUUGAUAUAAGCCAAAAGGAGACUGGUUUUCCUUUGCUAAUGUAAGGAAACUUUGCUUCCUUUGAUUCUGUAAACAAAUGUUUGUUUUCAUGAGACUCACUGACGCAUGUGCACCGCUGACCUCAUACGUCAUGAUCCCGGAGCUGCUUCUGUGUACAACUGUUGGUGCAAGCUAGAUUCAAGUGAUUAUUACAUUUUGAAUAUGGAUAUUUUUCUUACAAAAACACAUCGAGUCACUAUAGGAGACUUUUGUGUUCACCCCCCCGGACACUUUUUUUUAAAUGGAAGGAUGCUUUUUAUUUCACAGACUGAAGCAAUGCAACACCCACUGACUGCAAUGAUAGAGCUUGAAAGAUCAAAGACCAUUUUUAAUAUAACUCCGACUGGAUUCAUCUGAAAGAAGAAAAUCAUAUACACCUAGUAAAACACAGCCUAAUUUUCAUUUUUUGGUGAACUAACCCUUUAAUAUACAUUUUUCUUCAUAUUAUAAACUUAAUUAAGACAGUUAGGAGCAGUGCAUGAAAAUGCAGGUGAGUAGCAGUUCGAUGAAGGAUGGUAAUUCAUGACAAGAAUAAUAGCAGAACUUUCCUUUUUGCAGGUGCAGGAGGAUGUGGACAGUGGGUAAUAAUACAGAUAAUAAUACAUAAUGAUAUAUACAAUUACAAAGUAAUAGUGAAAGUCAGCAAAUAGAUAUUUGAGUAAAAAAAAUGUGUAGCUUUAGAUAUAGAGACUAUACGCUUCUUCUGUACAUCUCUCAAUUUUAGGUUAUUUAUUAUGCCUCACUUUUGCUUUAAACCAGUAUGUACUGGAGCUGGCAUUAGGGUAUACUGUAUAUAUAGACCCAUCAUGCCAUGCUAGAAGUAUGUAUCAACUGCUUGAGUCUCCAUAUUCGUCAGGAUGAUUAGGACCAGAGCCAAUAUCUGCAGCAUUAGAAAUGCAUAAGUUGAUGGUUUGUGACUCCAGCACAAGCACUCUUCAUCGAUCUCUGGGUAAAUGUGUAAUUAGUAGGCAAACAUGACCUCACCCUAAAUAGACUGAACACUCUGAUCACAGCUACUCAAAUCAGCUUCUGUAAAGCGUUUCAGCAUCGAAGUGUUCCGCGUCUAUCUGAGAUCAAUGAAAAUCAGCUUCAAGUACAUUACCAUGCCACUGUAAAUCAAUACAACCAUCAUAUCUCUGUGAGAAAAAGAUACCAUAGUAAAGGUCUGGUAAAAACAGUGAAAUACGCCUGGCUGACACUCACACUGUGUAAACGACACUGGCUGGCCCACAUUCAAGCAUUUGCAAGAUAAUUAAUUCAUCUCAAUAAACAGAAUCAUCAGUACAUGGAGUCACACUAGUUUAGCUGAGUAACCAGUUAAGAAUCUGUAUGCGGUUUUGUAAAGGCACACAACAUCAGGUUCUGUUAAAGCAUUUACCCGUGUUCCUGACAGUGAUUUCUCAUCCUGACCCCUGGGUUAAAGCUGAAUCGCUAGCUUCAGCUCGGAGCUGCCACACACAUGUUAUGAGAAUAACCUCAUAAAUGACGAUAACAACAAAGCAGCGGCUCACACUCACUGAUUCAAGAUGAGAGAAGAGAAAGAACUGGAUUCUUCGCAACAUUUCAGUUGUUAAUGUUCAUAUUUACUUAAUAUUUUUCAUGCAUUAUAGUCUCGUCAGUAGAUUACAGCUGAGAGAUAAUAUAGUUUUAUCCCCAUUUUGUGAUGAUAUAAACAGUCCAGCAGUUUUGCUAGUAUAUAUCACUUUACAUUAGUGUACUGUAUGUAAGUAGGUCAUAUAUCUAACUUUAAAUAUACUGCUGGGCGAUAAUAUUAAUUUGUACUAUGUUAGAAAUUAUUUCAUUUUAAUAACAUUUCACAACGAUUUAAUCUGAAAUCCAUAUAUCCAUAUAUGGGGAAUCCAACCCACCCAUUCAUUAAUUCAUCCACCUACCCACCCACCCAUUCAUCCAUCUACUUAUCCAUCCAUCUAUUCACCUAUGAAUCCUUCCAUCCAUCCACCAAUUAUCCAUCAUCCAUCCAUCCAUCCAUAUAAUCAACCAUCCAUCUACGCAUCAGUCCACUUAUUUGAAAAAGUUGGCUGCAUAAGACCAAGCUGAAGCCUAAACAGCUAACUAGUUGCUAACUGAGCAGAUGACUGAGUAAACACUAUGUGGUAAUCCUGCUGUGGUUAGUGCUUACCAACAUCCUCCAGCAGAUCAGUUAUGACUACUGAGUGAAUGUCAUGUCUCGCCAUUAACUUUCAUGAGCAAAGCUGAUGUUUUCAGAUGGUUCCUGUGGCUCUGCUGAAGAACUGUUUACUUUCACAGUAGCAUGUGUUUUACAAGGGCUCGAAUAACACACAAGGCCACAGUCUGGGCUUUGUGAACUGGUGAUUACUGCACAGAUCGAGACAAUAACAUUGAACACUGUCAACAGAAUCCCUAGUUAUAUAUUUAAAGAUAGAUAUCAGCCCUGAACGUACCCACAAUCCCACAGGCCUGUGCUGUAAAACCUGAUAAUACCUAACUGGCUGCAUGUGGAUGGGAUUUAUUUUUUUAACCAUUACGCUGCAUAUAAUGCAAGACAGUGUUACUAUUUUGACAUGUUAGUCCUUCACAUUCCAACUACAUUGACAUUCGUUCAGUCGAAAUAAUAUCAAACACAUUAUACAGAAAGUAAAAACAUACAGGUACACCAAAUAAGAAAAAAGAUAGGAAAAAAGCAAAAACAAAAUAAAAUAUAUAUAUAUAAAUAUAUAAAAAUGUAUAGAGAAGGCGUUAACCAUGGGGUGAUUGAAACUGUAUUGCUCAUUAUUGUAAAUGUGGACGUGAUUUUGUGUGAGUAUCUGUAUUAGAAGACAUAAGAACAUAAUAAGGUAGUAUAAUAAUCUGGAUAAAGUCUGUAAUCUUUUGUGAUUUCCUGAAAAUAUAUUGUUCAUUAAAU